rnacentral:ncRNA from 1 species
CGGCGUACCUCGGGGGGCUUUGUUAUGAAGCUGAGAUGCCACAGUGGCGGACCCGUUGAACCUGAACCGGUUAAGACCGGCGGAGGGAAGGUAACGGGUUCUGAU